rnacentral:lncRNA from 1 species
GAGAAUACCGCGUGAACAUGCACCGCCUUUCAAGGCCGCGGCCCCGCCCCUUAGCGAUAGUCUUCCCAGCGCUGUGGGUCCUGACGGAUCAGCACCCAGAAGAUGUUUUACGUGCCUCUCCUACACACGAAAUUAAUACGGAAAUAGCUCCUUGAAACAGAGACUCUGAACAAGACCUCAGCUCUCCAUAGGAAUCCACAUCUGGAAAUCUGUUAUUACUCAGCUUUUCCCUCUUCCAAAGCUGCUGAGUAAUUUAUACAGAAUCUUUAACUAAAAUGCUUCUCCAAGGAAACUAAGACAGCGACGAGGACCCUCUUGCCAUCCGCCAUUCCGAGAAAUUCCUGAAAUGGACCCAGAUAAACAAGG